UAGGGAAUAUUGGGCAAUGGACGCAAGUCUGACCCAGCCAUGCCGCGUGCAGGAUGAAGGCCUUCUGGGUUGUAAACUGCUUUUAUCUAGGAAGAAAAAACCCUUGCGAGGGGAACUGACGGUACUAGGUGAAUAAGCACCGGCUAACUCCGUGCCAGCAGCCGCGGUAAUACGGAGGGUGCAAGCGUUGUCCGGAUUUAUUGGGUUUAAAGGGUGCGUAGGCGGCCCGUUAAGUCCGUGGUGAAAGCCAACAGCUCAACUGUUGAACUGCCAUGGAUACUGACGGGCUUGAGUACAGACGAGGUAGGCGGAAUGGAUGGUGUAGCGGUGAAAUGCAUAGAUACCAUCCAGAACACCGAUUGCGUAGGCAGCUUACUAGGCUGUAACUGACGCUGAGGCACGAAAGCGUGGGGAGCGAACAGG
rnacentral:rRNA from 1 species